AGAUCUGUGCCUCACUGGUAGAGCGAUUGACUGCAGAUCGAAAGGUCACUGGAUCAACCUCGGCUGGGUCCU